rnacentral:rRNA from 1 species
ACUCCUACGGGAGGCAGCAGUGGGAAUAUUGCACAAUGGGCGCAAGCCUGAUGCAGCCAUGCCGCGUGUAUGAAGAAGGCCUUCGGGUUGUAAAGUACUUUCAGCAGUGNGGAAAGGGUAGUGUAGUUUAAAUAGCUGCAUUAUUUUGACGUUAGCUGCAGAAGAAAGCACCGGCUAACUCCGUGCCAGCAGCCGCGGUAAUACGGAGGGUGCGAGCGUUAAUCGGAAUUACUGGGCGUAAAGCGCAUGCAGGUGGUUUGUUAAGUCAGAUGUGAAAGCCC